rnacentral:tRNA from 1 species
GACUCGAUAGCUCAGCUGGUAGAGCAAUACACUUUUAAUGUAUGGGUCCCGGGUUCGAGCCCCGGUCGGGUCAC